rnacentral:rRNA from 1 species
UACGUAGGGUGCGAGCGUUAAUCGGAAUUACUGGGCGUAAAGUGUGCGCAGGCGGCAGAGCAAGUCGAGUGUGAAAGCCCCGGGCUUAACUUGGGAAUUGCGCUCGAAACUACUUUGCCGGAGUGUGGCAGAGGAAGGUGGAAUUCCACGUGUAGCGGUGAAAUGCGCAGAUAUCAGGAAGAACACCAAUGGCGAAAGCAGCUCUCUGGGACGGUACUGACGCUGAGACGCGAAAGCGUGGGGAGCGAACAGG